rnacentral:rRNA from 1 species
UGCGGCCUCGAAACGAGGUCCAGGACCAUGCAUGGUAGGCAGUUUGACUGGGGCGGUCGCCUCCCAAAGAGUAACGGAGGCGCGCGAUGGUAGGCUCAGACCGGUCGGAAAUCGGUUGUUGAGUGCAAUGGCAAAAGCCUGCCUGACUGCAAGAGUGACGGCUCAAGCAGAGACGAAAGUCGGUCAUAGUGAUCCGGUGAUCCCGAGUGGAAGGGUCAUCGCUCAACGGAUAAAAGGUACGCCGGGGAUAACAGGCUGAUCGCACCCAAGCGUCCAUAGCGACGGUGCGGUUUGGCACCUCGAUGUCGGCUCAUCACAUCCUGGGGCUGUAGCCGGUCCCAAGGGUAUGGCUGUUCGCCAUUUAAAGUGGUACGUGAGCUGGGUUUAGAACGUCGUGAGACAGUUCGGUCCCUAUCUGCCGUGGGUGUUCGAAACUUGAGAGGAUUUGUUCCUAGUACGAGAGGACCGGAACGAACGCACCUCUGGUGGAUCGGUUGUCACGCCAGUGGCACAGCCGAGUAGCUAAGUGCGGAAUAGAUAACCGCUGAAAGCAUCUAAGCGGGAAACUAACCUCAAAACCAGGUUUCGCUUGAGAGCCGUGGAAGACUACCACGUCGAUAGGCCAGGUGUGUAAGCGCAGCAAUGCGUUGAGCUUACUGGUCCUAAUCGCUCGAUCGAAAUGCUUGA